rnacentral:rRNA from 1 species
AAAGUGGCGCACGGGUGAGUAACGCGUACGUAACCUGCCUUACAGGAAGGGAAUAGCCCGUGGAAACGUGGGAUUAAUACUCCAUAGUAUAUAGAUUGGCGCAUGCUGUUUAUAUUAAAAGUUUGAGGCGCUGUAAGAUGGGCGUGCGUGCUAUUAGCUAGUUGGUGAGGUAACGGCUCACCAAGGCUACGAUAGCUAGGGGGCGUGAGAGCGUGGCCCCCCACACGGGUACUGAGACACGGACCCGACUCCUACGGGAGGCAGCAGUAAGGAAUAUUGGACAAUGGUCGAAAGACUGAUCCAGCCAUCCCGCGUGCAGGAUGACUGCCCUAUGGGUUGUAAACUGCUUUUAUAUGGGAAGAAUAGCAUAAAUUCAUCUGUGUAUGACGGUACCAUAUGAAUAAGCACCGGCUAACUCCGUG